rnacentral:rRNA from 1 species
CGGAGGGAGCUAGCGUUAUUCGGAAUUACUGGGCGUAAAGCGCACGUAGGCGGCUUUGUAAGUUAGAGGUGAAAGCCCGGAGCUCAACUCCGGAACUGCCUUUAAGACUGCAUCGCUUGAAUCCAGGAGAGGUGAGUGGAAUUCCGAGUGUAGAGGUGAAAUUCGUAGAUAUUCGGAAGAACACCAGUGGCGAAGGCGGCUCACUGGACUGGUAUUGACGCUGAGGUGCGAAAAGCGUGGGGGAGCAAAACAGGAUU